rnacentral:rRNA from 1 species
CCUACGGGAGGCAGCAGUGAGGAAUAUUGGUCAAUGGACGAGAGUCUGAACCAGCCAAGUAGCGUGAAGGAUGACUGCCCUAUGGGUUGUAAACUUCUUUUAUAAAGGAAUAAAACGAGGCACGUGUGCCUUUUUGCAUGUACUUUAUGAAUAAGGAUCGGCUAACUCCGUGCCAGCAGCCGCGGUAAUACGGAGGAUCCGAGCGUUAUCCGGAUUGAUUGGGUUUAAAGGGAGCGUAGAUGGGUUUUUAAGUCAGUUGUGAAAGUUUGCGGCUCAACCGUAAAAUUGCAAUUGAUACUGGCAGUCUUGAGUACAGUUGAGGUAGGCGGAAUUCGUGGUGUAGCGGUGAAAUGCUUAGAUAUCACGAAGAACCCCGAUUGCGAAGGCAGCUUACUAAACUGUGACUGACAUUGAUGCUCGAAAGUGUGGGUAUCAAACAGGAUUAGAUACCCUUGUAGUC